ACCCCGGAAGUGGGUCGGGGGCUUGGCCUCUGCCCGGCCGCGGAGCCGGAGCAGGCGGUGGUGGCCGCUGGAGGUCCCGCCAGGCGAUCCUGUCUGGUGGCGGAACCCGGACGCGGCCCGAGUCGCGGGGCCCAGGAUGCUGAACGUCCCUUCCCAGGCUUUCCCGGCCCCCGGCUCCCAGCAGCGCGUCGCCUCCCAGGGGCGCAGCAAGGUACCUUUAAAGCAAGGCAGAAGUCUUAUGGACUGGAUUCGACUGACCAAAAGUGGAAAGGACUUAACCGGACUGAAAGGCAGGCUAAUCGACAUAACUGAAGAAGAACUUAAGACACACAACAAGAAAGACGACUGUUGGAUAUGCAUAAGAGGGCUUGUUUACAAUGUCAGCCCCUAUAUGGAGUAUCAUCCUGGCGGGGAGGAUGAACUGAUGCGAGCAGCAGGAGCAGAUGGAACGGAUCUUUUUAAUGAGGUUCAUCGUUGGGUCAAUUAUGAAUCCAUGCUGAAAGAAUGCCUGGUUGGCAGGAUGGCUGUGAAGCCUGCUGUUCCAAAAGACUGCCAUGAAGGAAAGAAAGUCUUAAAUGGCAUGCUUUCCAAGAGCCAAGUGACAGAUACGCUGCCCAGGGAAGGCCCUAGUUCUCCAAGCUAUGACUGGUUCCAAACAGAGUCCUCAGUCACCAUUGCUAUAUACACCAAACAAAAGAAUAUCAAUUUAGACUCAGUAAUGGUUGACCUCCAGGGUGACUCCUUGAGAGCAGAAACUUUUAUCCAGGAUCAUUCUUAUCUUGUACACAUUGGGCUAAGCCAUGAAGUUCAAGAAAAUUUUUCUGUACGGGUCAUUGAGAAUGUUGGAAAAGUAGAUAUUGUCCUACAAAAGAGAGAAAAUAUUUCUUGGAAAUGUCUUGGUCAGCCCUUGGAGAAGCAUGAUUCCUUUAUUCCAAAGAAAGAUACAGGCUUGUCCUACAGAAGGUGCCAGCUGAUUUCCAAGGAAGAUGUUACUCAUGAUACAAGGCUUUUCUGUCUGAUGCUGCCUUCAAGUACUCACCUUCAGGUGCCAGUUGGGCACCAUGUUUACCUCAAGCUCAGUGUUACAGGUGCAGAAAUAGUAAAGCCAUACACACCCGUGUCUGCCUCCUUACUCUCAGGCUUUAGAGAACCAGUUCCUCCCCCAAAUAAAUACAUCUACUUUCUGAUCAAAAUCUAUCCUGAUGGACUCUUCACACCAGAGCUUGAUCGUCUUCAGAUUGGAGAUUUUGUUUCUGUAAGCAGUCCCGAGGGCAAUUUUAAGCUAUCUAAACUCCAAGAAGUAGAAGAUCUGUUUUUAUUGGCAGCUGGAACAGGCUUCACACCGAUGGUUAAUGUGCUGAACUACGCUUUGACUUGCAUGUCCAGUCUCAGGAAGGUGAAAUUGAUGUUCUUCAAUAAAACAGAGGAUGAUAUAAUUUGGAGAUGCGAACUAGAGAAAUUGGCAUUUAAAGAUAAAAGAUUUGAUACUGAAUUUGUUCUCUCAGCACCUUCUCCAGAAUGGAAUGGCAAACAGGGACAUGUAUCACCAGCUCUUCUCUCUGAAUUUUUGCAAAGAAGUUUAGAAAACUCCAGAGUCUUCCUUUGCAUCUGUGGACCCACACCAUUUACAGAUGAGGGGGUGAGCUGUCAGUAUGAACUGUCAUGAAUCAGUGCCACAAUCUCAUUCGGGACACUGGGCUCUCUAUCUCCCCUUCUACCACUUUAAUGUUGCUGCAUGAUCUUAACUUUUCCAAUGAUGAGAUCCACGGAUUCACAGCUUAAUAAAAUGCUGCCAUUGUCUUUUAUUCAACUAGUUUAUAUUUGUGAUCACCUAGGAUUUUUUAAAAGAAUUUUUGUAUGUACGAAAGGUUAACCAGGCUUCCAUUUCCGGAAUGAAGUCGUGUGUCUUCAGUAUAGGUAACUUGGUUUAAUUUUGUACUGUGACUUCCUUUACUACUGAUGCCUGACCCGGGACGUCAAUCAUGGCAGCAGACACAUACAAAGAAGAGCCUUUGUUAUGACCUGCAAGUUUUCCUUACCACUGAAAUUGUAUCACUGUUCUGCAAUAAACACUUGUAUUUUAUGACAUGAUAAAGUAAGUAAUCAUUUUGAUCACUUUCUAUGCUGCAAGAUGUCUUCUGAGCAAUAUAGAUUAAAUUUUACACUGUACUGUUUACUCAGGAAUUGAUGGUGUAUGUCAUUAUUAAUCUUAAAACAUGUAAUGCUGUAACUAUUGGUGAUCUAGUUCUGUGGGUAUCCAUGGCAUUGAUACAGAGUAGAAUAAAAUUAUACUGCCAUACUUUUAUUCUCUGUGUUAGACAUAUGAUUGAAAUAGAGUGGCUGUCUUAAAGGGAAUUUUAUUUACUUAGUUGUUUAUUUUUUCAGAGUCUCACUUAGUAGCUUUGAUUGGGCUAAAAUUUGCUAUGUAGCCCAGCAUGGCCUGAAACUUGCAGUGAUCUUCCUGCUUCUGCCUCCUGGUGCUGGGAUUACAGGUGUGUGCUCCCAUGUCCAAGUUUAAAGGAGAUUUUAAAGACACCAGUAGAGUUCAAUUUCCAAGCCCCAGAUGGUAGAAGAAAACUAACUCCUGCAAGAUAAUCUCCACGUUCUCAGAAUGGCAGUGCACUCCCUGCCAUGCACACACAAAUAAUAAAUAAAUACAAUUUUUAAAAAAGUUUUAAGAUACCAAUAAAAAAUAUUGGAAGUGCUUCACACUUGCAGCCUGGGACUAGGUGUUUAAAGAGCUUGCCAGAACCCUAGCAACUGUUUCUAAACCCAGACCAAAGGUGUCAGCAAAGGUUGAAGAGUGGCAUCCAGCCCAUGGCCUGGGACAAUCUUUCAUCCUUCUGCCACCCAUCCACACCGGCUGGGAAGAGGAGGAACAUUCUGUCCUCGGAGGUUCUCUCCAGGUUGACUGCUUCCCCAGACCAGCAGCUGGCAGAUGAGCAGGGAGCCCUGUUAACUCUGGUAUGGGCAGUCUUCAAACCCUUCCAAGCCUGAGACUGAGCAGAGGAUCAAGAGCUUUUCAGAAGGACGCGCUGGAUGCAUAGAUGGCUGCUGCUCUCCUAAUCCACGCAGCAGCAGUGUUUAUACAGACAGAGCUGGGAGGAGUCCCUGGUUUUCCAUGAAUGGUUUUGUAAGUCGCUACCAUCUCUGAAUGAGUGCCCAGCUCAUUAGCACUUCCCAAAGGACCGACCAGCACGCUGCAUGUGUAAUCUCUGCUGGCAAAUGCCUCUUGAACACCCAUUCCUAUCCCUGUGUCUUCCUCUCCCGAGGCUAGAGUCCAGCAGCUCAACUGCAGCCGUGCUGCUCACAGGGACUUCAGAUCCUUGUUACCCCUCAUCUCUUUCCCCUGGAAGGAGAUGUGUGCCAUCUUCUCUUUUUUUCAGUAAUUUGUUGGUAUUUUGUCAGUUAACUUUCUUUCAUGAGUGUCUUGAUGUUUCAUCUUUUCUAACCUUUUUUGUCCUCCACUCCUGUUCCAGUUACUACAAGAAAGCGAUUCUCCUCUGCUGGAUCUCUUCUUUGUUCCUCCUUUUUUUGUGCUUUAGAGCAAAAGAAAAGCCAGAAGCCCUGCAGAUUUCUACUCACACAUUGGUUUGCACAUUAGUUUAAAAAAAAAAAAAGUGUGGUUUUUGCCCAUUUGUUGAGUGGAUAAUUUAUUUUUCAGGUGCUUUUUUUUUAAAAAAAAAUUCUUUGUCUAUUCUAGAUGUUAUCCCCUGUCAAUGAAGUAGCUGGCAGAAAUGUUUCUCUCCCAUUUUGUAGGUUGCCUGACUGUCACCACUGAUGGUUUUGGUUGCUGUGCAGAAUCUUUUCCUUCCAUUUGGCAACUCUUGCUAUCAUUUUCUGAACUAUUGGAGUCCUGUUCAGGAAGCCCUUGCCUGUGCUGUCAGUGUUUUCCUCUGGUGUUUUCAGUAUUAAACUAAAGCCUUUGGUCUAUUUAGAA